UAUUUUUCUAUAUAUACAUAUAUAUAUAUAUAUAUAUAUACACACACACACAGAGGAAUAUACUGAACUAAAACAAUGCAUAUAUACACACACAAAUGUUUCCGUCAAUUACUUGGAAGUAACUAAACACAUUGUUAAAAACAUACAAAGCAAUCUUAGAACUUUAUGAUGACAUACAAAGCAAUUUCAAUCCGAAAUUAAACUGAGUAUAACAACAUAGCAGAUUAUACUGGUAAUAAAUAUCUCAUGCUUCUCCUGACAUGGGGGUUUAAUUCACUAAAUAAAAAGAGUUGAAGUCCGUUGACCAAUGCGCUGCAGAUAUUUGGGCCAAACCAGUUAAGAUGGAAAACAAAACAAAAUUGUUUUAAUUAAAAAUUUGUAUGCCAAUCCAAGAACAAAAUAGCCAAUAUAUAUACACAAUAUGUUAUAUACAUAUAUAAAUUGUUUUAAAAAUAUGGAAAAAACAUUAAAAAGUAAAUAAAAGUAAAUAAAAAACACACAAAAAACCUAGUCUUACAAUAACCAUACCAUAACCAAAUCUAAGUGUGUGCACUGUGCUUUUAUUAAAUCAUAAAGUCCAAAAUUGUUGAAAUAAGUGUUUUACCUAGAAUUAUUAUACAUAUGAUUGUCUUUCCUGGAUGGAGUAUGAUGAUAUCCAGUUAUAAACAAGAUUUUCACAGCAUAUAAUCAAAAUCACAAAUUUCACGUUUUUGUUUUUUUUUUACAAGUUACCAUUCAUAAAAAUUGGAGGAGAAAAAUACAAAGACAACAGUUUUAACAUAACAUGUAAACUGUGUGAAUUACAGUACAUCUAUAAAAUUAGGAGGCGAUGCCAGAAUACCAAGAUAACUGUUUUAAAAUAGCAUGUAAACUAUGUGAAAUACAUUAUAGGAAACAAACUGACACAAUUUCCUUCACUGUACAAUUUCUCAGAUCUUUGAAAUAGAAAAUCAAAAAAAUACUGACAGUUGGAGAGUUCGCUAGCAAACCAAGAAAGAACGCUCUAGAUCAGGGGUUCCCAAACCAGUCCUCAAGUACCCCCUACUAGUCCAGGAUUUAGGAAUUAUUUUGUUGUAUCUAACGUGUUUUUGUUUGUAAAAACACCUUAGACAUAACUGGGUAAUCCCUAAAUCCUGGACUAUUAAGGAGUACUUGAGGACUAGGUUGGAAACCACUGCUCUAGAUUAUAUAUACAAAGAUACAGGACACGUAAUCAAACAAUUAUAACAGCGAUGUCAAAUUAGAAGGUUACAUUAUUAAUAUAGCUCCUGAUAUUUCAUAAGAAUUUCCAUUUAAGGUAGUUCAGAUUUGCAUAUUUGUUACUAAGUGUAUACAACCAAUAUAUGCUUUUUUUUUUUUAAUUUUUUUUUUUAAAGUUAGAUCUGUGGUGUUUAAUUUUAAGUAUAUUUUAAACGUCUUUAUUAAAAUGAUUAUCUUAAUGACUUAAGACAAAGCACCCUACUAUAAAUACUCAAGCUUGUUUGUAUGGAAGACUGUCAAGUACAUACGCCCUAUUUUGAUUCACAUUAUUUCACAGUUUUUGAAGUAAAUAACACGUUGCUUUAGGGAAAAAGUAAACUAAUCCCAUGAAAAAGCUGGACUACCUUUUCUUUAUAUGAAAUAAAGUCAUAAUAUGACAUCUUACCAACAUUUUAGCACUAAAGAUGUUUAAAUGUUAGCGCAAAAGUAAGCUCCCAUUUAUAAAAUGGAAGGCAAAAUAUUUUGAGAAAAAAACUUCUAUCAGUAUACUUGUCAAUUUUAACACUUAAUGUAAAGUCAAUAACUUUAGUCAUAUGUAUAUUUAAAUAAUGUUUUUCUAUCCCAUCUACCAAUAAGGCAUCCAAAAUAAUAGGGAAGAGAGUAACAUAACAGUGUAAAAAUUUGUAGCAACAUUAAAGAGAAGAAUAUUUAUUUCAUGUAUGGAGGAGUCAUGUUAGAACUAAGGCAGCAAUACCUUUACAUUACAGGGUAUCCCUGCCCCCACUACAGGUAAUUAGACCAUGUGUUCAGGUUUGUGAUUAAAAUUAAAUUGGUUUGCAAGCUCCAUUUUUAUUCUGAAUAUAAAUGGUUUGCGAAGAACCAUAACAAAAACAUAAGUUGCCAAUUAGGACAUGAAAUGUAAUUCUCUUGCCAAAAAGACUACAAUACUAUGACUUUCAAAGUAAAGCCUAAAGAAACCAUCAACAGAAAUAUAGAUUUCAAAAGGAGUGAAUAAAAAGUUGUAUGAUACCCACACAGGCACACUUGCUCUGCAACAUAUCUAAGUCUACAAGUCAUAUUCAAAUUACAUCUACUCAACUUACAAUUCUCACUUACAUCAUGACUGUAUCAGAUAACCUCUCUUGAAUUACAUAGCAGUCUUUUUACAUCUUAAUAUAGUCUGUGAGCACCUAAUGUAAUGCCCCCUAGCAUCCUCUAAACUACAAUAUAAACAGUAUAUAUUAUGAGUGAUCAGCAAGUUAUAUACUUUGCCCUACUGUUGUUAUUAUUAAGUUGAAUAUAUGUUUCCAUAUUUUUGCAUAUAAAGGAAGCAGUUUUAAUGCAGUCUUAAAUAUGAUUUUUUUUAAAAUGACUGUACUCAAAACUAGUGAGCAACCCUUAGAUAAAAAGACAAUCUUUUGCCAUGUUUGUGUACACUAGUAUGAUUUAAAAUAGGCCUUUUAUAUUUUAAAUUAACUUUGUUCCAAGACUCCUGUUUGUGAGCCGGUGCCCAUUUAGAUGUAAAGCUGAAACUAUACAUACAUACCACAAAAAGACCUUCAAUUACAAGAUGUAACAUACGCAUUUCAACUAAGUGAUGGUAAACCAGAAUAUAAUGAUUUUUUUUUCCAUAUCAGCAAUCUUGACCUACAAUUUCCAACUUGUUAAUGUCAACCACAAAUUAUAAUAAUGUAGAAUCAAUGUGUUCAGCCCCUUGUUUACCGAACAAGCAGGAGCUGCCUUGUAUCAGAGGAAGCCAUUUUCACUGAAUAUGAUAUCCAUGCAAUGAUACUAUCAAAAAAAAUGUGAUACUGCUGGUUUCCAAGAUCAAAUUUUGCAGAUGGAACCAUUAAUGGACAUUUUAAAGGAGCUUCAAUCAGCAUAGUUACAGUAGUGUUUUGUAACGUGGCCAAUUUGCUACUUAAUAAUUUCAUAGAAUACACCCCAAAAUGACACCAAUAUAAAAGGACAGUGCUCAGUUAUACUAUCUCACAGACAAUAUUUUACAGGCCAUAAAAAAUAUAUACAGUUUUUUUUGUCUGAGAAACAAUUGAACCUCUACUUAGUCUUAAUAAUGGUCAUACUGUAGCUGCACAGAAAGUUAAUCAAGUUUACCAUCAAAUUGUACAGACAGAAAACAGAAUUUGCCCUCAAGAACCUCUGAAACAUGCAUUAACCCUUUGAGUGCAUACUGUGCAAUAUAUUAUGACAUUAGUCCUCAAAAACUAGCCCUCAAAAGCAGAUUUCCUCACCAAGAUAGAAACUACAUAGUGUACAUACAAUCUAUCAUCUAAAAUCUAAGAAAUGGAUUCUCAUCUAGAGCUAAAAAUUCAAAUGUUAUGCUUUAUUAAAAAAAAAAAAAAAAAAUAUGAAUAAACAACUAAGAAUAUAUUUUAGCUUCUACACAUACCGGUUCCAUACUAUUAUUAUUUAAUUAUUUGUAUAGCAACAGCAAGUUCUGUAGCGCUGUACAAUUAUGCUAUAUUAAUAAGUGUGCAUGCAUUUGGGCUAUGUUGUAUACAUUUUCAUUGUGGUUUUUUUUUUGUUCUUUUGCAUUAAGCUCACAAAAGUGUCAGUAACAAUAACUAAUAAUUUACCGUAUAUACUCAAGUAUAAGCCGACCCGAAUAUAAGCCGAGGCCCCUAAUUUUACCACAAAAAACUGGGAAAACUUAUUGACUCGAGUAUAAGCCUAGGGUGGGAAAUGCAGCAGCUACUGGUAAAUUUCUAAAUAAAAUUAGAUCCCAAUAAAAUUACAUUAGUUGAAUAUUUAUUUACAGUGUGUGUAUAGAAUGAAUGCAGAGUGUGUGUUUGUGUGUGUAUAUAUAAUGAAUGCAGUGUGUGUGUUUGUGUGUGUAUAUAAUGAAUGCAGUGUGUAUAUAAUGCAGUGUGUGUGUUUGUGCAGUGUGUGUAAACUGGGUGAGGGGAGGGCAUUUUUAUUUAAAUUUUUUUAUUUUAAUAUUAUAUUAUUUUAAUAAUAUUAUUUUAUUAUUAUAUUAUUAUUAUUUUAAUAUUAUAUUAUUUUAAUAAUAUUAUUAUUUUAAUAUUUGCAUUAUUUUUUUUUAAAUGUUUUUUUGUCCCCCCUCCCUGCUUGUUG
rnacentral:lncRNA from 1 species